UUGAGGUUUUUUUUGGUCUCUGAUCAAAAAGCUCUCCACCCUUUGUUAAUUCUGUUUGAGACUUUUAGCUUCGGUAAGACUGUUUGAUUUGUUGUUAAUCAACAAGUCAAACGAUUGACAGUUGUGAAAAGACUGUUGAUUAGUGCUUACCGUUAGCAUCUUAUACUCUUGAUAAUUUGUUUGUCUAAUAAACCAAAAAAAUUAAUCA
rnacentral:misc_RNA from 1 species